AUGCGUUGGAAUGUGAAAGAAGAGACACAUGUGCAAAUACAACAGGACUUGAUGGGGACAGGAACUCAAUAUAUCUGAAGCUGAAUGUUUAAUCUGAAGGUCUUAUGUGUACUGGUCCCUCUGCCUAGACCAUGUGUCCCUUCUGAGAUGUCACUUCUCAGAGGGUUCUUCCUUGAUUCCCCUUCAUAUCUAUGUUUGUUUCCCAUGUUACACCCUCUCAUGGCUUCCUCUGUUUUUUUUUUUCUCCAUAGAUUUUACUACAAUUUUGAAAGUUUUAACUUGUCUUCCUAAUCAGACUUUAAAUUCUUUGGCGGGGGGGUCAGGAUCCAUGCUUUACUCAUUUCUGUGUGAUGCCAAAGAAACAUUGCACUGGAUGGAGUUAAACAGGUGAGGGAGACUUUAUGUAAGACUACUGCAGUAGGGGAGAGAGACUGACCUCUCAAGUCUACUGAAACAAAAGGCAAGAGGGUUUUCAAGCUAAUGGAAAAGUAACGGAGGGCACUGGUUUAUUUGUAUUGGCUCAUUGGUAUUUGUUAAAGUUAGGCUCCUACUGUCCCAGAGACUGGGAGAGAAGGUAUUAUCUUUCUUAAUGAUUACAUUUCUCAAGGAUGGCACCCAGGUCCUUGAAUAAGACAUAUCAGGGUUGUAAAACUGGCAAGAGGCUGGGAGAAGAUUUAUAUCUCAAAGGGGCAGAGAAAGAACUUACAAUUGCAAGAUUUCUAAAGUAAACACUCUAAGAAAAGGGAAGUCAGGGGCCUGUGGUCAGGAAGGGACUAUCUAGGGUAUAGUCAAGCUUAGGGGAACAUUGAGGUAUCUUGGUCAAUGACCUCCCACCCAUGCUACCUUCUUCCCCUACAGGGCCUGGCACAGAGCCCAGCAGAUAAUAGAUGCGUUCAUUUUAAAUUUAACUUGAACAUUUGUCUGUCCAUUUGGUUAAUCUCCAUUUUCUUCUCUAGACUGUGAGCUCCAUGAAGGGAAAGGCCAUGCCUGUCUUGUUCAUUAGUAUAAAUCCAGCACUAAUAGGCUCCACCUAUUACAAGCAAUAGGUGCUUGUGGAAAGAGUGAAUGAUGGAUGUGUGGGUGAAGCGAGACAAGCAGCAAGGCUGACUUCCAGGUUUUUGGAAUGCCUGGAAUGUAGACAUCAUAAUGAUGGGCUGAGGGCAGAGCGGCUGUUUGAUCAGGACCCUCCUGCUGACUUCCCAGGGAGGAGAAGCCUCACGGUGUUCUGUGUCUGAGUUGGAGGUGAUGGAGGGCGCACAGCUAGAGCCUGGGGAGAUGGUUGGACAUGUUCCUUACCCCUUGUUUGAUUUCUAACAACUGACAAUGAUCCUGGGGAAGUGACAACGUAUGAUCUUUUGAGUUUAUUUAGAAGACAGAGCUGCGUGGAGUUCAAAAGAGCAAUUCCUCCAGUUGUGGUAUGGAGAGAGGAAGUGUGGGGAGCCAAGGAUCUAAGCCCCUUUGAGUAUUCAGACACCGACCAACUAAAGCCAGAGAAUUGACAAUAUUGACUGUUGCUGGCCUUCAUGACUUUGACCUGAACUCUGUCCCCUUAAAAUGACUUUUGCCCCAAUUCCAUGCUGGAUUCCCCAUUGGGCAAGCUGAUUCAUGAACAGGGUACUUUGACACCUUGUCAGACUGUUUGCAUUUGGAAUACAAAACAGUCAGGUAUGUUUCCAAGGAAGAGGGUGGGGGACACAUACACAGGCAUGGCUGGGUCCCCAGAUUGGAGCUGGAGCAGAGAAGGAGCCUGGAUGACAUGCCUGCGAGAGACCACCCGUCUCAGGGCCCCUGGAUGUGGUUCCUCAAGCAAAGAUUCCUUGGGCGUCAUGGACCAUCUGCCUCCUCCUAUGGAUGUCUUCAGCAUCAUCUCUCUCCCUCUCCCACAGCAAGAGGGCUUGAUCAAGAUGGCUGGACUACAUCUGCUUUGAGGAUCAAGCAGGAGACAGAUAAGCUGCCAGUUCCCCAAAUACAGUUGUACACUUUACGUCUUGAGAAUCAGACCUCCCACUGGCGGGAGCGCUUGCCCUUAACUGAUACGUCAAGGAAUCAAACCAGGUUAUUUUUGUUCAUGAGAUGGUGAAAUACACUGAAAGUAGUGAGGGGGGGAAAGGCGUGAGAGAGAAAACGCCCGCUGCGUCCACUGGGAUCCUUGCUGGCUGUUCCUGAGUUUUCCAUGGAAAGCACUUGGAUACUCAGAACAAAGGAUACUUGCUGGUGCAUGGGGCAUGUUGAAAUACCAGGGAAAUUAACCCCUGGGAGCAGCACUCAACCGAUGAUGCAUAGAAACUGGCGGGUAGAAGUUUAGCUCUCUCAUCCCUUGGGAGGAGUAACUCUAAGGUAAGAAAACUGAGCCCCAGAGAGGGGUAGUGACAUGCUCAAAGUCAAUGGAGUUAUGGCCAGAGCUGGGAUUCCACUCCUGGUGGUCUCAUGGGUUCAUGUGGACAAAGGUAAAAGUAGACUGAAAACUGUAAACUACAGUGUGAAAGAUGAACUUGCUAAGGUGUUUUUCCAAAGGUCUGGUCUAGGGGAAACAGGCUCCACAUUGCAGGGGGUGGAGGUGAAGAUACAGAGAUGCCACCAUGGGCCUGCUGGUCUGGAGAAUCUUGUGCUACCCUCCAAGUCUGAGGCUCUUGCCUCAUCGAGACUAGUGGGUGGCAUUUGGUGGCUAUGAACAUUGUGGGUGAACAUUGCCCUACUUCCCAGUCCUCCCUUUUGUCCCCAUCGUGGGGCUCUUUUGUCCUAAAUGCCAUAAGACCUAUGUUUUUGGGGGUCAAUUAGUUCAACUCUUUACUAGCCAUUGUGUCUCCUGGACCACAUGCUCAGCCAGGGGUCACCCAAUCUAUGUGGGAGCACAUUCUGCAUUUUCCAAACCAGACUGGAGAUUAGUCAGACUGCCCAGACUAGACCUCACACCUCCUUUGUUCUCCAUCCCAGCCUCAUUCCCAGCUGUUACAACACAGAUGCAGAUCCAACCAAAAGCCUCUCAAAAGAAUUGAAGUGCAUUCUAGGCAGAGGAAAUAGCUUGAGCGAAGGCAGGAGAUUUCAGAGAACUUAGUGUAGCAGAGACAACAGUUAUGAAUGAGUAUUUUUAAGUUUCCCUGAUUCUAUGGUAAGAAUUCUGGCCUUCUUGGUCACCUCCUGAGCUCACCUUUGUUGUUCAGAAUCCAGGUAAAGUAGGAAAUGGGCAGAAGGCACUAAUGCUGUCAGAUGGUUGAGAUGGUUUACGUGGUGAAGAGCUAAUAUGGGAAUACAUGGAGGGGUAAGAAAUAGAAAAGCCUCAUGGCUGGGAGGUUGAGAGUGAGGAGAGAGGGUGAAUUUCGGGGGAGAUGCUAUGUGAGAGAUUGAAAGCAGCAGUGAGAGGAGGUUUUAAAGAUGCUUAUUGUGUGUUAAUGCAUGUCUCCCUUUGAAAUUCUUAGAGAUGCUGAGCAAAUAUUUGAAUACUUUAAAUUACUUUUUGGUUCCUGGAUUGUUUCUUUCAAUAGAACAUUAUGUUGAGACUGGACCACAUAAUCCACAUCCAUACUUGGGUUACAUGACGUCAGGAUCAUGGUUGGGGGUGAUAAUCAGGGCAGAGAAUAUAAAUAUGUGAAGCUGUAGGGGAUGAUAAGAAUCUUCAGAGCAGUGACAAGUUCAUUUGUAUUCCCUAGGGCAUCUAGGUCACCCAAGUCCUGCCUGCUGCUGUGUUCUUCACCUAGUGACUGUAUGUGGGAGUAAUAGUAAUAAUAUUUGCUCACAUUUACCAUGAACUUACCAUAUACCUGGAACAUUUCUAAGGGCUUUACCUAUAUUAUCUCAGUAAUCCUCACAGCUACCCAAUGAAGCAGGUAUUAUUAUCAUCUGCAUCUUAUAAAUGAAGGAAUUGAGGCAUGGAAAGGGUACAUGAUUUACCCAAGGUUAUGCCACUUGGAAUUGAUGGAGCCUGUAUUUGAAUUCAGGUAGUUUAACUCUUAAUAACUAUGAUAAGGUUCAAAGCAGUUGUUUUUAAAGGGUGGAAGGCUUUGGAAAUCUCUGCAACAUUUUUCUUAUCCUUUUUUCUCUUUCUUCCUUUCCCCUCCUCUCUCUCUCUUUUGUGAAGGACUUACCAUAGAAUUAUGUGAAUUUAUUGGAUUUAUAAUAUGGUUUACAGAGGCAACAGUUUUAGUUAAAGAAAAUUGGCUUCCUUUUCAAAAUGUCAUGUUUCUCAUUUUCUCUCAGCAUCUUGGGCUUUUUUCAAGCUCCCCUCAGCUCCUAAGUCAUUCAGAAGCAUGCUUCACAAUUAGAAUGCUAGAAACCCUCAACCAGCCAAUUUAGGUUUUGUGAUUUGUUCAAUAGGACACUUAAAAUAAACCCAGGAGUUGAUUGUGAAGGCAAAGAAUGAGUGGGAGUUAGAAGGAAGAGGCAAAGAAGCAAAUGUGAGGUAGUUGGGUGUCCACAGGGAUGAGGGGCUCCGUUCUCCACCCAUAAAUGAUUCAACCAUCUGUUUACAUGCCCUUCCAAAGGUACACACAUCUUAAUUUAUCCAUCCUUCCAUCCCUCCUCCAUCCAUCCAUCUUUCCAUUCAUCUAUUCAGUUAUCCAACCAGAUCCCUGUGUAUCCAUCAUCCAUCCAUCUUAGCUUUUGGCUCAUCCUGUAGUGCCUCAGUGCAGUGAUGCUCACACUAGUUCUCAGGAAUCCAUCUGGAAUGGCUGACCCACUACCAUUUGUUGAACAUCCUCUGCAUACUGAGAAUUGUCCUAGAGAGUUUAUAAACAUGAAGGUAUGUUUGUGUUCCCAACAUUCCCAACAACUCUACAGAAGUGAAGCUCAGAGGAGUUAAAUAUUUUUUUCCAAGAUCACACAGUUAAUGAGAAUCAAAAUAGAAACAGAGAAAGUGAAGGGGGAGGGCUGGGAACUGGCACAAGGUUUGCUUCUAACAUGGGAUAGGGUCUUGGGGGACUGACUUACAGAAGAUAGAGGGGCAGAAAGUUCAGUCAGGUGGGGUAUGCACUAGUGUUCAGGGGUAUAUCAGUCACCUAUAGCUGCAUAACAAACCACCUCCAAAUUCUCACCUCUAUCUCCCAGGAAAUUUUAAGGAUUUGGAGGUUACCUCCUAGGAGCCAGGAACAAAGGCCAGAAUCUCUCCUUGGGCAAGGCUUAAUUCUUUACCUCAUGAUUUUAUUUUUUUUAUGUUAAUUUAUUUUUUAGAAAGAGAGACAGAGCAUGAGCAGGGGAGGAGCAGAAAGAGAGGGAGACACAGAAUCUGAAGUAGGCUCCAGGCCCUGAGCUGUCAGCACAGAGCCCAAUGCGGGGCUCCAACGCACAAACCGUGAGAUCAUGGCCUGAGCCGAAGUCGGACACUUAACUGACUGAGCCACCCAAGUGCCCCAGUUCUUUACCACAUGAGAUUAAAGUUUGAGAAGUGUUGUUUAGGAAGAGGGGUGGAAGAGAGGUGCAAUCUUGUUGCUUUUAUCCUUGGACAUCUUAUCCUUUGUGUAAGCUCAGAACAAGAUGGCAUCUUAACAGCUUCUCUGUCCAUGGUUGUUAAAUUAAAAAUUUUUCCCCUCGUGCCCCUUUUUCUCCCCCUCCACAGCAGAGUUCCUAGACUUGUUCUUUUCUAUGGAUCCCUCCCCACCAAUAGCCAGGUGAAGCCUAUGGAUCUCUGCUCAAUAUAAAGGUUUUAAAUGUGUAACAAAUACAUAGGAAUCCAAAGAAAACCAAUUAUAUUGAAAGAUAGGUAUACAAAUGUUAAGAAAAACAAUUUUGUGAUAUCUUGGUAAGUGUGCUUCUUUAUUAAUGCUUUAACUGUCAACCUAGAGGAGAAUUUAAAAUAGUGUUGAAUGUAGGGGCGUCUGGGUGGGUCAGCUGGUUAAGUGACCUUCUUUGGCAGGUCAUGAUCUCACAGUUUGUGGGUUUGAGCCCCGCAUCAGGCUCUGUGCUGAAUGCUUGCUCAGAGUCUGGAGCCUGCUUCGGAUUCUGUGUCUCCUUCUCUCUCUGCCCCUCCCCCACUUGUGCUCUGUCUCACAAAAAUAAAUAAAUGAUAAAAAAAUUUGUAAGUAGUGUUGAAUGUAAAUAUUUCAAAAUAUAUGACGUAUAUAGCAACUGUUAGGUGAUAUGAAAAAAAUCCAUGGGUUUAAAUGGUGAAAGCCCAGGUUUUUCUUCUUCUUUUUUUAAAA